rnacentral:lncRNA from 1 species
AUGGUCCCCCGUAUUCAGGUCCCUGUUCGGGUGCCACCCGUGACGGAGCCAGCCGUCACUUGUCGAACAGCACCUGAAUGGGGGAGUGAGGAUGAAGAAAAAGAAAGACGCAGAGAUAGAGUCGGGAGCCUCUCAGAGAGACUGCCGCCGCGCUUUUUUAUUCUCCUCCCCCCUUUAUCACAGCAUCAGCCUAGGAAAAACUGAAGCACACCCUGGGGGAAAACAACAGAUGCAACCUUGUUCUUUACUGCCCUGAUCUGGUGCACGGUGGUAAGCUAGUAACUCUGGAAUUGGAGACCAGGACACUGGAAUGACUAUCCCUUUUGUUCAAGGCAUUUUUAUGCAUGGGAAAGGAUUGUAGUUUCUACAUGUGAAAAUCAUGAUCGAAAGCCUAAUCAUUA